AGACUCAGAUUUAUCACCUUUGAAAUGAUAGCCUCUUCACCUUAGGGAAUCUCCACUGUUCUGGGUCAGAAGAGAAAGGGGCAGUGCUGUAAGAUCUUGUAUUUUAGUUACCCAUUAAACUAAGAUUGCAUUUAAACUUGCCACUGUGACACUUUAGAGCACAUUGUAAAACAGAGACCUUCUUAACCUGAAAGACAACAAUUCUGUAUUUGAUGGAUUAGGACAGGUACAGAUGCAUAUGUGUGACCAGCAGAGGACCUCUGGCCUUGGGGGAUCCUGAAUCUUAGGGGGACCAGAAACAUGGGGGGACUCAGAAACACUUAGUCACCACCUCGCCCUGAAGACACUCGACCACACUGUACUAUCAUCUCUCACCUGCAUUUCCAUAAUUGUCCUUUACUUGGU
rnacentral:lncRNA from 1 species